rnacentral:rRNA from 1 species
CGCUGGCGGCGUGCCUAACACAUGCAAGUCGAACGGGGAUUUGUUUCGGCAGAAUCCUAGUGGCGAACGGGUGAGUAACGCGUAGGCAACCUGCCCUCCGGCCGGGGGACAACACUCCGAAAGGGGUGCUAAUACCGGAUACGAAGUCUGUGCCGCAUGGUACGGAUUUGAAAGAUGGCCUCUAUUUAUAAGCUAUCGCCGGGGGAUGGGCCUGCGUCCGAUUAGCUGGUUGGUGGGUAACGGCCUACCAAGGCGACGAUCGGUAGCCGGUCUGAGAGGAUGAACGGCCACAUUGGGACUGAGACACGGCCCAGACUCCUACGGGAGGCAGCAGUGGGGAAUCUUCCGCAAUGGGCGCAAGCCUGACGGAGCAACGCCGCGUGAGUGAGGAAGUUCUUCGGAACGUAAAGCUCUGUUGUUCCUGACGAACCUCCCCUUUAUCAACAACGGAGGGGACUGACGGUAGGGAACGAGGAAGCCACGGCUAACUACGUGCCAGCAGCGGC